UGGGGAAUAUUUCACAAUGGGCGCAAGCCUGAUGCAGCCAUGCCGCGUGUGUGAAGAAGGCCUUCGGGUUGUAAAGCACUUUCAGCGGGGAGGAAGGCGGUGAGGUUAAUAACCUCAUCGAUUGACGUUACCCGCAGAAGAAGCACCGGCUAACUCCGUGCCAGCAGCCGCGGUAAUACGGAGGGUGCAAGCGUUAAUCGGAAUUACUGGGCGUAAAGCGCACGCAGGCGGUCUGUCAAGUCGGAUGUGAAAUCCCCGGGCUCAACCGGGGAACUGCAGUCGAAACGGGCAGGCUAGAGUCUUGUAGAGGGGGGUAGAAUUCCAGGUGUAGCGGGGAAAUGCGUAGAGAUCUGGAGGAAUACCGGUGGCGAAGGCGGCCCCCUGGACAAAGACUGACGCUCAGGUGCGAAAGCGUGGGGAGCAAACAGG
rnacentral:rRNA from 1 species